ensembl:lncRNA
CUUCGAGAUAGACAAGGGGAGAGCGAGGGGGGGAGAGAGGGGGAGGGAGAGCAGUGGCCUAUUGUGAUUGCUUCCCUAAAAAAUAACUGAAAGUGGUGCUGCUGACUGCAAGAGGCACACGCAUCGCAAAUGAAAUGGCCCUGUGAACAUUGUAAACUAAACUCUUUUUUCUUUUUCUUUUUUAAAUCUUUUUUCUUUUCUCCGGGUCAUAAUUAAAACCAUGCGCCUUCACUUUCAGAUACAGAGAUGCCGCAUCCAACAGGGGGCACUUGUGGCACGUGUAGCUGGAGCGCAUUUCGUUAUGAAAGUCCUCCUUUUAAAAUACGAAGGAACAUUGGUUUUUUUAUUUAUUCGAUUCUGCCGAAUCUGCCAUUUAAUCGUCGCAAAUGCGAAGCGCCCCUCGUGAGCUCUGUGGCGACGCAACCAUCAGGUCGCCUGUAGGUGGGAAAGAAAUCAUGGAGGCCGGAGAAACAGAGACACGCUGUCAAUCUGCAACAGGCUGCCUGAGCACUUAACGGGGGGGGGGGGGGGGGGGGUGUUCGGGUCCAGGGGUCCGCUUGGUUGGCGGACAGACUGGCGUCCCGGGCCGCGGGUAUUGGACGGAGAACAAUGUUUCUGGAGAUGGACCGAAGGGGCCGGCGAACGCUCGCGCCCACACGCCGACUACGUGUGGAUAUUCUAAUGAGCAAUCUGGCCCCCCGUGAAUAUUAAUCUUUUUCGCAGCUCGCGUGACAUCGUGCAAAGUUGACGUAUAUAUAUAUAUAUAUAUAUAUAUGUUUUUUUCUUCUCCUAGAUCUCCGGGGGAUGAAGGUGUCGGCGACGGCGUUUUGUCGAGGCGCCCGUGAGCGACGUGCUCCUCUGAAACCUCUCGUUCACGGGCCCGCCACUCUGGGGGAGCGGCGCGAAAGGUCGCCCGGCGACCGGGCCCGAGGGUCAGCGACUGGUAAGAAUCACGCGUUAUCUUUUCCGUUUCGACUGAUGCAGAAUUGGCGCGAAUCCCUCCGUCGGUUGGGCGAAGCAGACCCCGGCGCGGCGGGUUUCUUUAAUACCAACGUCGGCGAUUCCAAAAUAAAUGCAACCUGCUGAGCUCAGUGGCAGCUCUUUACACGCGGUGUCCACGAAACGUGCGUGUGCACUGAAUGUAAUCUGAAAAAAAGAAUAAUAACCCGUCGGCAUGAUUCACACUACACACACACACACACACACACACACACACUCCCACUUGUUUCCUCUGCUCCCUUCAGAUGCAAGUCACAUGACAUCACUCAAGAGGUGCUCUAAAAAUCAGUGUGGGUACUGCGUGUGGGUUGGCAACACGCGUGUGUGUGUGCGCGUGUGGUUUGUGCCUGCGUGGGUGAGGGGAAUAAAAGCCAAAGCCCCAGAGCCGUGGGCCCGUGAUGACUGUGUGUGUGUGUGUGUGUGCGUGUGUGCGGUGUGUGUGCGUGUGCCCAGCCGGCGGCUCUGGUCCCGGGUUGCGCCGCCUCCCACGCCGGGCUACGGCUGGGCCUGAGUGGGAGGGAGGAGUGGGCCGCGGCUGUGAGUCAGCCUGUUGCGGAGCCCCCCAGACAAGAGGCCGCUGAGGGGGGAGAGAGAG